rnacentral:rRNA from 1 species
UUCAUUGAGAGUUUGAUCCUGGCUCAGGACGAACGUUGGCGGCGUGUCUAAGGCAUGCAAGUCGAGGGAUCGGAUAGGUGCUUGCAUCUAUUACGGACCGGCAAACGGGUGAGUAACACAUUAGUAAUCUACCUCUGAGUCAAGCAUAGCCCACCGAAAGGUGGAUUAAUACUUGAUGGUCAUGGGAGGCCAUAUGGCAUUCCUAUGUAAAGAUUUAUCGCUCAGAGAGGAGCUUAUGUCUGAUUAGCUAGUUGGUAGGGUAAUGGCCUACCAAGGCUUCGAUCAGUAGCAGGCGUGAGAGCGUGACCUGCCUCACUGGGACUGAGACACUGCCCAGACUCCUACGGGAGGCUGCAGUCAAGAAUAUUCCGCA